rfam:Bacillus shackletonii strain LMG 18435 super11, whole genome shotgun sequence.
CAACCUUUUAAAGACAGUCCUGUGAGGCUGACAAAGGUGGGAUUUACGGGCAAAGCAUGCCUGUUUGAAUAACCCUCUUUGUAGCUGCACAGCUGUAAAGAGGGUUUUUUUAU